rnacentral:lncRNA from 10 species
UAUGAAUAUUGAUGAUGAGAACAGGAAUGCCCAUGUGCAUGCGCGUGCGUGCACGCACGCACAUACACACACACACACACACACACACACACACACACACACGCCCUACUUAAUGAACCAAAGGGAAACUUUGAUGUUGCUCCAGGACAAGAGGGAGAGCCAGGGGCUGCCAGGCAAGGUGCAUCUUUCCUGAAGUCUUCUCCAGUCCUGCUCCUCCAGCUCUCAGCCUCUGCACAGCCACCAGGGUUGCAAAGGGAGCCUUGUGCUUGGAAAGCUACUGGCUCCGCGACCUCUCUCCUUCUCUUCCCUUCGUUCACCUAUGCUUCUUUUCAUGAAAGAUAUUUGGCAAUAGUUGGGUACUUCAAAAGUCUCAAUUCUGCUAUCAAAGGGAUGCAAAGCUUUUAUGGCUAGAAUGGGGUUUGUGGUUUAUACGGACUUGGUUUGCCCUUCCAUGUCUACUCCCCACUGAGACCCUGAUUCUCCUCCUGCCCUCUCCCUUCCCUGCACUGUUUCCUCCCUUCCCUCUGCCGUGAUAGAUGCUAAGGAGUGGGGUGGAGGUGGGAAGUGGGAAGCAACAGUGGCGUAUAGGAAAAAGAAAAUAUACCCCGUGCACAUUUUCAACAUGUAGUUGAAGAAGCCUAAAUUAGGUACUAGAAAAAAAAAAAGGACAGAAACACUGCCUGAUAUGUGAGCAAGAGCAUGAAAAUAUAGAAUGAUUAUCUCAGAGCAGAGGAGGUGGGGAGCAGGUGGCUGGAGAGAGGCGGGGUAGGUAGGCAGGGCGUCCCUGGCUCACCAAUGCGUCUGGUCCACAUGGCAUUUGGGAAAGCAGAUGGGUCAUGCUUUUGCAAUGAAUGGUCAGAUGCUUAGGGGGCAUUUGUGCUCCUCUGGCCAGGAAAGGGAACAGAGUCCAUCCAAGCUGCCCCCCACUCAUCUGCCAUGGUUGUCCACCCUGGGGGUUUUUCCUCUGAAGGAAAAUGAACCCAUCUUUUGCCUGCCAUGAAUCAUUGCAGGGCAGGCUGUUACUGGCUAAAUUAAAACCCUUGGCAGGGCAUCGACUGUGUGCGAGGCAAUGCUCUAGGUCCUGUAGGGGCUGGAAAAUAAACCGCAUGCUGGCCUAGCCUUCAAGUUGCUUUUCAGCCAUGAAAUUAAGCUCUGCCAAGCAAUCGUGAUUGUAGGUCAAGUAUCGCGCCAUCACGGAAGGUGUAAGUAUAUGUAGGUUUCUCUGUUGAGGAUGCGUGUUCCUCAGUAGAAGACAAGCAGGUGGAGGCAUCCAGUGAUUUCUACCCUGUGGAGGCUGAGGGGUCGGGGGAAGAAAACAGAUGACCUCAGCCUAGUUGCUUUAAUCUGCUUUUCCAAGCACUGGAUGCCCUUGGAUGACAGCAUCCUCAGCAUUAAAACUGGUGAACUGAUGAAGUCACCUGGCCUGGAGUGUGUUGGGCAGCCAGUGUCCCCAGAGCUGCUUGUGGGUUUCUGGGGUGGAAGGCAGGGAGGUGCAACUGGCAGGGCCUGAUCAGAGGCAGAAAAUGACCCCCACAGUGGUCUUUUCCCUGCUAGAGAAAGCAGAGAGCGGGACUGGGGGGGUGGGGGCUUCAAGUACAGAUUGGGCACACUCCACCAGACCCCAGCAAGGUCAGCUGCCCCACGCCUGUAUCUGGCACUGCUGGUGUGUGCAGGGAUGAAACCCAGCAUCAGAGAGGUUUUCAGCAAACCUUCCAUGCUCACCUUUGGCCAGGUGCUUGUCAGAUCCUAGCUUCGUGCUGGCUUAGACUCUCAGUUGUUUGUGUUGACAGCAUUAGGAAUAAACCGUUUGUUUCAUCUUUCCUUUUCUCCACACGUGUCACAGCCAGAUUUCAGCUUUGAGUUAUUCCCUGAAGAAGCCACACCAACCUUGCUUUCAAGCAAAAUGCCUGGGCUUGGGGGAAGGUGUGUAUCUGUCCAUGUGUGGAUGUUGGCUCAGAGCUAUAGCUUCUCUGUGGGGGGUGGCCCAAGGGAAGGCUCCUCUGGGGCCCUGGAUGGCACAUGACUCCCAGUGAGGAGAAUUCUGGUGAUCUCUGUGGAGGUAGUCAGGGACACAAGGCUUGGCUGUGAGUCUGGUUUUAAAGUGCGUGACAGCCUGAAAAGCAUGCAGGGGUUUGGUCCACUCACCUACUUGAAAGCCUGUGGGCAACGUUCUUUUGAGCCAAGACUUCUCUGAAUGGCCCUGCUGGUGGAAGGGGUGAGGCAAAGGCCUCUGACUUGGACCCUUUCCACACCAGACUGGCAGCACUUCCCCCAGGCAGCCAGUGGUGGGCCCUGAGCCCUCAGGUCCCCAGCUCCUUGAGGGAUGAACCUGGGAGCCCAAGAGCCAGUGGCUGAGCUCUGAGAAGGCUCCAUCUCCCACCUGCCCUUGAGCGCGCUCUCAGGCUGAGAACACGGUCUCAUCAGGCGCCUUCCUGGCCUGAUGCUGUGCUGUCUACGUCACACGGUCGAUUCACAAAAGCCAGAACUAGACCUCAACCAGGUCAUCUCCCCGUUGCCAAGUGGGUUCAGGGUGAGGGCAAUUUGUAAGCUCAAUUUCUCUGACAGCCAAGACAUGGAGCAUCUCUGCUAAGAAGCCAAAAGAAAUUGGUUUUCUUCUUCUCAUUGCUGAAGCCCCUCUGUGUCUCUUCUCAGGGACAGGCUGGUCCAGUGGCUUUGGUGAGGGCGCCUCCAUUUGUGAACGCUGGGAUUCCUCUGGGUGGGCUUUGGCAGGUGGCUCCUAUGGUAGGAAGGAUGACCAGGUCCCUGGGAAUGAGCUGCCUACCUGCUGCUCCACGAGGAAGCUCAGGCCUGCACAGGCUCCACCAGGCCUUGGAUGCCCUCUAGUUGAGUCAGAGACCCUGGAAACACACUGAGAUCUCCAAUUGCUGCCUCCAUUGAUGUCUCUAGACCUGCAGAUACGAAGCAAACCUGGGAUUGCUUCUUCCAGGUAUGGGCACCAGAGAGGGAAGCCACUGCAACAUUUUAUCCCCAUCAUUCCAAAAUGCUUGCUUGUCUCUUUUACCUCACACUCACAACUCCUUCUGAGACUCUCAGUCAUAAAGGAAUGACCAAGAGAGUGGGUCUCCAGUGAGAGAAAUGCCUAUGAAAGAGGGUUUCCCUUUUUGCUCUUUUGAACACCCUCCCCACUGAUCCUUGGGACCCAACGCCGCAUUGCCUCUUGCAGAUGAGGUUUUGCCUUGGGCUGCUUUGGUACUUCAGACCAGGACUGAGUCUGACACAGCUUUCAUGAGGUUACAGAAAAGGGCUACAGAUUUGGGAAGCUGUGUGUAAUGGUCUUGAGACAAUAUCUCCAUUUGGCCCACCCUGGCUUCUCUAAAAAGCAACGACAGCAACAGACAAACAAAAAGCUCCCACCUCCCACCCCGUUAGCUGUCCUCCUCCUUCACUGUGAUGUGGUUGCGGUCUCUGUAGGUGUGUGUGCCACCCUUGUCCUCUGUCCUCUGGGGAUGUGCCCUUCCCACGUGUGUCAGGUUCCCACUCUUUCGUGGUUCCUAACGUGAAGUGCUGUGAUGUUUCUGCCCUGCCUAAGGAACGUAUCAAGCUCUCUCAGUGUUUCAGUGUUGGAGAUUGAGGCUGUGCCACAUCUUCUGCCAUCCUAAGGGGACAUGAUGGUUCUGUGAUUCCCAGAGAGCUGGCAGAUUGUGACAAUCUCCAGGAGAACCUACAGAUUGGAAGCAGCCCACACCUGAUGUGGACUCCUGACCCGGGACUCACUCUUCAUUCAGAAGACUGGUGGCCCACGUGCCAGGACCACCCCACCUCUCUUGCUGCCUUUUCUCCUGUCCUGAUGGGGUUCUGGGAGGGAGACCUGUCGCUGAUGAGAUGAAGAAUGUGGGGAUCGAGCAGCCUUCUUCUUUGGGACCCCUCGAUAUCCCAUGGAAUGCUCGCACGUUCUCAAAGACUGAGUCACAAGCCCCUACCCCUUCCUUGCUGUGGUUAGUAUCUUGUUCUGUGAUUGGUUAGCAAUGUUGACUACCCACGUAGUGAAUCUUUUGUCUGCAAUUUAGAGAAUGUGUAAACAAAUAAAAGGCUUUAAAACUC